CCCAACCUUUAUUCCCUUAAAUCAUUUUCCCCAAAUUCCUAAUUUAAUUUUUCCCUAAUUCCCUAACUUAAUUUUUUCUUUCCCAUCCGUCUAUUGCUGGUCGUCUGUCUGGUCAUCCGUCUGCUGCAUCGCCAUCGGUAGUGCAUUUGCCAUCAAUCUCUGUCUCCUUCAUCGACGCUGCUUCGUCCCUCGCAAAAGGAUUUUUGAUCGUGGAGUGCUCAUCUUGUACACUUAUUGCUGAAAACUUUGCAAUGGCAUCGCCUCAGAUUUUGGCAGGACCAGGAUUCAACCAACUUUUGGUACUUAUUGCAGUUUCUUUAGAAUAUUCAAUUGUUUUCUUCCUUUUUUAUCUUUAUGAUUUUAUAUAUUCUAUCAUUAACUAAUAUUUUCCUAUUUAUUUUUCAAAUUAAUCAAGAGUGAUACUUAUGGAAGCAACUAGCUCAUAACAAUUAAAGCAUUCACUUGCACUUUGCAAGCAAUUGAAUCAAAGGUUGCCUAUUCUUUGUGGUUAUCAUAUUUAGCAGUAAGUAUUUAAUGUCAGAGUUACUUUUUGAUAAAACCAAAACUUAAAGGUCAAAAUAGUAAAUAAAAAAUUAAAAGCUAAAUUGCUGGAACUAAAAAUUUUCAAUGAAUUAUAACAUUUCGAGCUGAUAUGGAAUUAAAUUAUUUGAUCGCUAUAACAACUUAGGCCUGCUGGACAGUAUAAGAAAAUCACAUUAAGUUGAAAUUAUUGUAUAAGAACUUAAAGAAAAAUGAUUGACAAUACAAUCUUUGCAAUGUUCGUAUUCGCAAUAAUUACAUUGCAAUGUUAGGGGCGAAGUGCUUACUUUAUAAUUAUGCUCCUACUGUGUGAUAGUUAUAAUAGUGAAGAAUAGUAUGUGUUAAUGUUAUAGGGAUAUGAUUUUAUUCCAAAAUUCUUGGAGUGGUGGUUUGAUUGGAUAAAUUAAUGCGUCUGUUCAAUAUUUUUUAUGCUACUUUGUUGUUGUUUUUCUUCUUCCGCAAAAGUUGCCAAAAAAUAAAUGCAACUAAGAAAAGCAAAACCAUUUCACUCAUGAUCCGACCUUGUUGACUAAGGCUAGUAUAGUUGAGUUUUUACAUCAGCAAGUUCUCUCAACAAUAUUUAGAUCUGGCGUAUGCUGAACUGUGAUAAAGAAACGAUUUGAGAAUCCUUGACCAUUCUUGAUAUAGAGCACGAUUUUGCAGGGCAAUUACUGAGCUCCAAAAUUUCUAUUUCUUUCUCUUUUUUGGUCAGACCGGAUUAUUUUUUACAUAUAUUGCUUUCAUAUAUCAUUUAAUAGUUUAUAGUUUUUGUGUGAUUUUUAGUUAUUUUUCUUUGCUUAGUUUUAGUAGCUAUUUAUUUAUCCUUCUCCAAGUUGCCUUCUUUGAAUGUUGAAUUGUGGAUCAUUUUGUUUAGACUUUAUUUUUAGUUUAUCUUUUACAUUCGAUUCAUUGUUAAUUUUGAGAGAGAAAUUUGUAUAUAAGUUUGUUGCUCAAAGGCACUAAAGGUAUCAUUGUCAAAUUUUAUUAUUAUUAUCAUUGUGGAUGGGAUUUCACUUAAUCAAAAUAAUUAAGUAAAAGCGGAUUUUGAGUUCUUAGAUUUAAGUCUUAUUAGGGUGUAUUCAAAUUUUCUUCAAUGAUCGAACUUGAAAUCAAUAUCAAUUAAGAACUUGAUUAUUAUUAUUUAAAGUAUUUUCUCUGCCUUUAUUAGUUCAGUUAAAGUAUUUUCCUGAACCUGGUCUUGUGUAGAUUCUGAAGUUGAAAUAUUUUUAAAUUUUGCCACUUGGUAUGCAUGGAUCAAUUUUAUACAAUAGUAUAUUAUCUUUAUCAAAACUUGUUUUAUGCAAUUGAUUUUCUUUUAGAGAUGAUGUUGACUGUGGUUUGAAUGUGGCAUAUGCAUCCCAAGUUAAUAGUUGAAAAGAGUUCAUAUCUAAGUGCGGCAUCUCAGGUACAUGUGCAAGACUUAAUUCCACUAUGCAUUCACCAAUUUGCAAUUUUGCAUAUGCAUCUAACUGCUUGGGAUUGAAUAAAUUUAAAUAACAUGAAUUAAUAUAUAUUAAUGUCAAUUUAUCUUAUCAUUUAUUUAUUAUGUUUUUUUAUUGAAACAGUGAAUUGGAUCCAUACAAAAGAAGUAUUCGAUAGGCUCAUUUGAAUUGCCUAAUCAAACAACUCCAUUUUAAGCUUUCAUUAAUUGCAUUUACUUCAAGAACUACGAAAUGGAUAAGAGUUGGAUGGAUUUGUCAAAGGUAAGCAACGACUAUCGAAAUGGAGUACAAACUUUUCUAAAUUUUGCAUUUCAAAAUGCAAGCCAAGAGAAUAUGAUUCUUUGCCCGUAUAAGAAGUGUGCCAACAUCAAUUGGCAUAUUCAUGAAGUUGUCUACGAACAUCUAAUUGUUGAUGGCUUUAUUCAGGGGUAUAAAAAAAUGGAUUUUCCAUAGUGUACAUCUCGUAGAACCUUUUCAAUGAUUAAUCCAGCUUAUCCUCAUAAUACUCACCAUCAGUUUGUUAGAGAAUAUGACAUCAAAGGUAUGUUGCGGGAUGAAUUUAAUAUGCAUAGUCAUGAUUUGCAAUCUAGUCAUGGUUUGCAAUCAUUUUCACCUAAAAUUAUUGCAUCCAAUGAUUUUGAUAUUGGUGGAAAUACUUUUACCAAAACGGGAAGAAGUGAACCUAAUCAAGAGCCAAAUAGAGAAGCGGAAAAGUUUUACAAGUUACUUAAUGAAAUGAAUUAAGAACUUUAUGAGGGAUCGAAAUUUUCAAAACUGUCCUUCUACAUUCAUCUUUUUCACUUAAAAUAUUUAGGAGGGUGGACCAGAAACUCUUUUACGCUACUAUUAGAGUUUUUUAGAGAUGUUUCUUUUUGCAAAAAUCUCUCAUUCAUGCAAAGAUAUGAAGAAACUGAUAAAGGAUUUAGGCCUUGGGUAUGACAAAAUUCAUAGUUACCCAAAUGACUGCAUAUUGUAUUAGGGUGAUCGAAAAAACCAACAGUCUUGUCAUGCUUGCAGUAAAUCUCAUUGGAUGAAUAGGAAUGCAGAAGAUGUGAAUGAGGAUGAAGGUGAGGCACAGUCAAGAAAGAAGCCAGUAAAGAUUUUACGAUAUUUUCCACUAACACUAAAGCUUCAAAAGCUUUUGAUGUCGUCAAAGAUAGCCGAGUCUAUGAGGUGGCAUCAUGAUGAACGAAUCGAUGAUGGAUUAUUAAGGCAUCCUGCGGAUUCUUUAGCUUGGAAAUCAUUUGACAGUAAAUUUCUAAGCUUUGUAAGCGAUCCUCAGAAUGUGAGGCUCGGGCUAGCAUUUGAUGGAUUUAAUCCUUUUAAAAUCAUGAGUGCUUCGUACAGUACUUGGCUUGUAGUGAUUGUUCUUUACAAUUUGCCUCUGUGGAUUUGCAUGAAAUAAUCUUCUUUUAUCUUAUCUAUGAUUAUCUCUGGAAAGAAAGGUCCCGAGAAUGAUAUUGACAUUUAUAUGCAGCCACUUAUUAAAGAGUUGAAACAAUUA